rnacentral:rRNA from 1 species
UACAGAGGGUGCGAGCGUUAAUCGGAAUUACUGGGCGUAAAGGGCGCGUAGGUGGUUAUAUAAGAUUGAGGUGAAAUCCCUGGGCUUAACCUAGGAACAGCAACGAUGACUGUAUAGCUGGAGUACUGUAGAGGGUAGUGGAAUUUCCGGUGUAGCGGUGAAAUGCGUAGAGAUCGGAAGGAACACCGGUGGCGAAGGCGGCUACCUGGACAGCUACUGACACUGAGGCGCGAGAGCGUGGGGAGCAAACAGG